rnacentral:rRNA from 1 species
UACGUAGGGGGCAAGCGUUGUCCGGAAUCAUUGGGCGUAAAGAGCGCGUAGGCGGUCCGGUAAGUCCGCUCUGAAAGUCCGGGGCUCAACCCCGGGAGGCGGGCGGAUACUGUCGGGUUAGAGUCCGGAAGAGGCGAGUGGAAUUCCUGGUGUAGCGGUGAAAUGCGCAGAUAUCAGGAGGAACACCAAUGGCGAAGGCAGCUCGCUGGGACGGUACUGACGCUGAGGCGCGAAAGCGUGGGGAGCAAACAGG